rnacentral:rRNA from 1 species
AGAGUUUGAUUAUGGCUCAGAACGUACGCUGGCGGCACGCCUAACACAUGCAAGUCGAACGAAGUAGCAAUACUUAGUGGCAGACGGGUGGGUAACAUGUAGGUAUCUGCCCUUUGGCCUGGAAUAACACGAGGAAACUUGUGCUAAUACCGGAUAAGUCUUUACGGAGAAAGCUUUAUGCACCAUUGGAUGAGCCUGCACUUGAUUAGUUUGUUGGUGGGGUAAUGGCCUACCAAGACUGUGAUCAAUAGCUGAUUUGAGAGGAUGAUCAGCCACAUUGGGACUGAGACACGGCCCAAACUCCUACGGGAGGCAGCAGUGGGGAAUCUUGCACAAUGGAGGAAACUCUGAUGCAGCGAUGCCGCGUGAGUGAAGAAGGCCCUUGGGUUGUAAAGCUCUUUCGUCGGGGAAGAAAAUGACUGUACCCGAAUAAGAAGGUCCGGCUAACUUCGUGCCAGCAGCCGCGGUAAUACGAAGGGACCUAGCGUAGUUCGGAAUUACUGGGCUUAAAGAGUUCGUAGGUGGUUGAAAAAGUUAGUGGUGAAAUCCCAGAGCUUAACUCUGGAACUGCCAUUAAAACUUUUCAGCUAGAGUAUGAUAGAGGAAAGCAGAAUUUCUAGUGUAGAGGUGAAAUUCGUAGAUAUUAGAAAGAAUACCAAUUGCGAAGGCAGCUUUCUGGAUCAUUACUGACACUGAGGAACGAAAGCAUGGGUAGCGAAGAGGAUUAGAUACCCUCGUAGUCCAUGCCGUAAACGAUGUGUGUUAGACGUUGGAAAUUUAUUUUCAGUGUUGCAGGGAAACCGAUAAACACACCGCCUGGGGAGUACGACCGCAAGGUUAAAACUCAAAUGAAUUGACGGGGACCCGCACAAGUAGUGGAGCAUGUGGUUUAAUUCGAAGAUACGCGCAGAACCUUACCAACACUUGACAUGUUCGUCGCGACUCUAAGAGAUUAGAGUUUUCGGUUCGGCCGGACGAAACACAGGUGCUGCAUGGCUGUCGUCAGCUCGUGUCGUGAGAUGUUGGGUUAAGUCCCGCAACGAGCGCAACCCUCACUUUUAGUUGCCAUCAUUAAGUUGGGCACUCUGAAAGAACUGCCAGUGAUAAGCUGGAGGAAGGUGGGGAUGACGUCAAGUCCUCAUGGCCCUUACGUGUUGGGCUACACACGUGCUACAAUGGUAUCUACAACAGGAAGCAAGACUGCGAAGUUAAGCAAAUCCCUAAAAGAUACCUCAGUUCGGAUUGCACUCUGCAACUCGAGUGCAUGAAGCUGGAAUUACUAGUAAUCGUGGAUCAGCGUGCCACGGUGAAUGCGUUCCCGGGUCUUGUACACACCGCCCGUCACACCAUGGGAGUUGGUUCUACCUUAAGGCAAGGUUUCAAACCCUUGACCACGGUAUAGUCAGCGACUGGGGUGAAGUCGUAACAAGGUA